rnacentral:rRNA from 1 species
UACGAAGGGGGCUAGCGUUGUUCGGAUUUACUGGGCGUAAAGCGCACGUAGGCGGAUCGUUAAGUCAGGGGUGAAAUCCUGGAGCUCAACUCCAGAACUGCCUUUGAUACUGGCGAUCUUGAGUCCGGAAGAGGUGAGUGGAACUCCUAGUGUAGAGGUGGAAUUCGUAGAUAUUAGGAAGAACACCAGUGGCGAAGGCGGCUCACUGGUCCGGUACUGACGCUGAGGUGCGAAAAGCGUGGGGAGCAAACAGG